rnacentral:antisense_RNA from 1 species
GCUCGGUCAUUCGUGGCGUCCUCCCCGCGGGGAGGGGCAGCUCCGCUCGGCUAGCUCCGCCCGGCCACACCGGCUUUUUCCCCAUUAGGCGGUCCGAGUGCGGCUCCUCGCGAGCCUGCAAAGGAGCAGCAGGCGGUUCCUUUUCGGACGACCUGGAGCGAGGCCUUCGGGACUGCGAGCCCCGGCGGGCGGCGGGUGGCUCCCGGCAUGCGCGGCGGCUGCGUUCCCGCCGCCUCCGAGCUCGCCUGGGGCUGCCGCCCGCCUCCUGCCGGGCCCGAUCAGGGAGAUAUUUUAGUACAACAUCUUUUCAUCACAGAAAUGAUAUCUUCAGGGAAAAGACUUCGAAAAAGUGCCUGAAGUGACAGAACACAUGUUUUCUUCUGGUAUCUGGCUAAAGCCUCCUCUUCUAAGCAGCAUAAACUACUGCUGCCUACAUGUUGCCUGUUCAUAAAGGCUGAGGCAGGGGAGUCGCUUGAACUCGGGAGGCGGAGGUUGCAGUGAGCCGAGGUCAUGCCAUUUCCCUCCG